rnacentral:rRNA from 1 species
ACUGGCGCGUGCUUAAACAUGCAAGUCGAACGGGUAUUCCCUGGCAGCUUGCUGCCGGGGUGAGAGUGGCGAACGGGUGAGUAAUGCGUGACCGACCUGCCCCAUGCACCGGAAUAGCUCCUGGAAACGGGUGGUAAUGCCGGAUGUUCCACAUGAGCGCAUGCGAGUGUGGGAAAGGCUUUUGCGGCAUGGGAUGGGGUCGCGUCCUAUCAGCUUGUUGGUGGGGUAACGGCCUACCAAGGCGUUGACGGGUAGCCGGCCUGAGAGGGCGACCGGCCACAUUGGGACUGAGAUACGGCCCAGACUCCUACGGGAGGCAGCAGUGGGGAAUAUUGCACAAUGGGCGCAAGCCUGAUGCAGCGACGCCGCGUGCGGGAUGGAGGCCUUCGGGUUGUAAACCGCUUUUGUUCAAGGGCAAGGCACGGUUUCGGCCGUGUUGAGUGGAUUGUUCGAAUAAGCACCGGCUAACUACGUGCCAGCAGCCGCGGUAAUACGUAGGGUGCAAGCGUUAUCCGGAUUUAUUGGGCGUAAAGGGCUCGUAGGCGGUUCGUCGCGUCCGGUGUGAAAGUCCAUCGCUUAACGGUGGAUCCGCGCCGGGUACGGGCGGGCUUGAGUGCGGUAGGGGAGACUGGAAUUCCCG